rnacentral:tRNA from 2 species
GGGGCUGUAGGGUAGCCUGGCCAUCCUCGCGGCUUCGGGAGUCGUGGACCUGAGUUCGAAUCUCAGCAGCCCCA